GAUGAACGCUGGCGGCGUGCCUAAUACAUGCAAGUCGAGCGAACAGACGAGGAGCUUGCUCCUCUGACGUUAGCGGCGGACGGGUGAGUAACACGUGGAUAACCUACCUAUAAGACUGGGAUAACUUCGGGAAACCGGAGCUAAUACCGGAUAAUAUAUUGAACCGCAUGGUUCAAUAGUGAAAGACGGUUUUGCUGUCGCUUAUAGAUGGAUCCGCGCCGCAUUAGCUAGUUGGUAAGGUAACGGCUUACCAAGGCAACGAUGCGUAGCCGACCUGAGAGGGUGAUCGGCCACACUGGAACUGAGACACGGUCCAGACUCCUACGGGAGGCAGCAGUAGGGAAUCUUCCGCAAUGGGCGAAAGCCUGACGGAGCACCGCCGCGUGAGUGAUGAAGGUCUUCGGAUCGUAAAACUCUGUUAUUAGUGAAGAACAAAUGUGUAAGUAACUAUGCACGUCUUGACGGUACCUAGUCAGAAAGCCACGGCUAACUACGUG
rnacentral:rRNA from 1 species